ACCUUCUCCUCCAGCUCUGUUCCUCUGACAAUCAGGAAUCUGCAAGUGUCUGACUCUGCUGUCUACUACUGUGCCCUGCAGCCCAAAGCCUUGCAAACAUGUUUGAAAGGUUCAGUUCAAGCUGUAUUUGUUUUCUGGAGAUGACGUUAACAAUGCUACUCUACAGAGUUCUUUGGCUCAGCAUCCUAACAGGUGUUUGCACAGGACAGAAAAUUACUUCAGACAGAACUGAAGUGUUCCCAGAGGAAGGAGUGAAUGUUAGCUUGUCCUGUAGCUACUCCUCUGCAGAGUCUCUCCAGUGUGUGAAAUGUGGGAAUGAAAAUCAGCUCCUCGGCAUCUCAUCAGUACUGUGAGGCAAAAACAGACUUCAGCUGUAGAUCCUCGUCUGUCUUCAAAGGUACUGACUACAAGUGGAUGGGGCGGAGUCAGGAAAUGUGUGUGUGUGUAAAGAAGGUGUCGAGAUGCUUGCAGUCACUCUGUCAGUGCUGGCUAAUCAUGAUGGUACUUGGUGCAUUCCUGCUCUUAUCUCUCUUAAUAGGAGAAUCUGUUGGGAAUACUAUAACACUCUCUCAUUCCUCAGUGGUCAUCAAUGAGGGAGAAAGUGUCACUUUCUCCUGUAACUACAGCAGUAGUGAUGUCAGUAACUUGCAGUGGUAUCGGCAAUAUCCCAACUCUAUCCCAGAGUUCCUCUACUACAUAUAUGAGGCUGGUACCACUUCAGACCCAGUUCCCCGUCUGACUCCCUCCAUAAAGACAGAGGAAAAGCGUGUGUUUCUGGAGCUCUCCUCUGCAGAGGCGUCUGACUCUGCUGUGUACUACUGCGCCCUGGUGCCCACAGUGACAGGAACUCAGACUCUGCUGUACAAAAACCUCUCAGAUGUGCAGGAGGAGGGAGAUUCAACAUGUCCCCUUCACAGACAGAGAAUCUGUUGGGAAUACUAUAACACCCUCGCAUUCUUCACUGAUCGUCAUCGAGGAAGAAGCUGUUACUUUCUCCUGUAACUACAGUGGUAGUGUCACUAACUUGCAAUGGUAUCGGCAGUAUCCCAACUCCAUCCCAGAGUUCCUCUACUACAUAUAUGUGGCUGGUACCACUUCAGACCC